UACAGAGGGUGCAAGCGUUAAUCGGAAUUACUGGGCGUAAAGCGUGCGCAGGCGGUUUUGUAAGUCUGUCGUGAAAUCCCCCGGGCUCAACCUGGGAAUUGCGAUGGAGACUGCAAGGCUAGAAUCUGGCAGAGGGGGGUAGAAUUCCACGUGUAGCAGUGAAAUGCGUAGAGAUGUGGAGGAAUACCGAUGGCGAAGGCAGCCCCCUGGGCCAAUACUGACGCUCAUGCACGAAAGCGUGGGGAGCAAACAGG
rnacentral:rRNA from 1 species